AUAACAACCACUGUGGCAGGGGUCAAAGAAUACGAACUGCAGAGCAAGCCAGGACUGACUCUGCACAGGCCCCGGUGGGAGAUGUCUCAUUUGUGAGCCCAGACUGCCUGCCAGACACCUGUGUCCAUAGAGUUCAACAGGCAAGAAUACUGGAGAGGGCUGCCAUGCCCUCCUCCAAGGGAUCUUCCCGAUGCAGGGAUUGAAACCUAGUCUCUUACUUCCGCAUUGGCAGGUCCUGACUCUGCCUUGCAAUGAACUGGUUACUAUUUGCAUAUAAUGCAGUUUCAGGAACACUCAGAAGUACUGACUACUAAGAACUUUUCUCUAUUGGGAUGAGGACAUUGCUUGGCUUUGUGUAUCUUCUUUCUUGUCUAUAAGGACAUAAUACAUGCAAAGGAGAACAAUGACAGCCCAUAAUUUCUCUCUUUAGACAUGGGCAAAUUGGUUACAAUAUAGAGACU